rnacentral:rRNA from 1 species
UACGUAGGGUGCAAGCGUUGUUCGGAAUGACUGGGCGUAAAGCGCACGUAGGCGGGUCUGUAAGUCGGCUGUGAAAUCCCAGGGCUUAACCUUGGAAUUGCGGUUGAUACUGCGGAUCUUGAAUACCUGAGAGGGUGGCGGAAUUCCGGGUGUAGUAGUGAAAUACGUAGAUAUCCGGAGGAACACCAGAGGCGAAGGCGGCCACCUGGUAGUGUAUUGACGCUGAGGUGCGAAAGCGUGGGGAGCAAAC